rnacentral:rRNA from 1 species
UACAGAGGGUGCAAGCGUUAAUCGGAAUUACUGGGCGUAAAGCGUGCGCAGACGGUUGCGUAAGUCAGAUGUGAAAGCCCCGGGCUCAACCUGGGAAUUGCAUUUGAGACUGCGUAGCUAGGGUGCGGAAGAGGGAAGCGGAAUUUCCGGUGUAGCGGUGAAAUGCGUAGAUAUCGGAAGGAACACCAGUGGCGAAAGCGGCUCACUGGACCACAACUGACGCUGAGGCGCGAAAGCUAGGGGAGCAAACAGG